rnacentral:rRNA from 1 species
GAGUUUGAUCGUGGCUCAGAUUGAACGCUGGCGGCAGGCCUAACACAUGCAAGUCGAGCGGAUGACGGGAGCUUGCUCCUCGAUUCAGCGGCGGACGGGUGAGUAAUGCCUAGGAAUCUGCCUGGUAGUGGGGGACAACGUUUCGAAAGGAACGCUAAUACCGCAUACGUCCUACGGGAGAAAGCAGGGGACCUUCGGGCCUUGCGCUAUCAGAUGAGCCUAGGUCGGAUUAGCUAGUUGGUGGGGUAAUGGCUCACCAAGGCGACGAUCCGUAACUGGUCUGAGAGGAUGAUCAGUCACACUGGAACUGAGACACGGUCCAGACUCCUACGGGAGGCAGGCAGUGGGGAAUAUUGGACAAUGGGCGAAAGCCUGAUCCAGCCAUGCCGCGUGUGUGAAGAAGGUCUUCGGAUUGUAAAGCACUUUAAGUUGGGAGGAAGGGCAGUAAGUUAAUACCUUGCUGUUUUGACGUUACCGACAGAAUAAGCACCGGCUAACUCUGUGCCAGCCGCCG